rnacentral:rRNA from 1 species
CAAUAGCGUAUAUUAAAGUUGUUGCAGUUAAAAAGCUCGUAGUUGGAUUUCUGGUGGGAGCGAUCGGUCUGGCGCUUAGCGCGAGUACUUGCAUCGUCUCCGGCCAUCCUUGGGGAGAGUCUGUCUGGCAUUAAGUUGUCGGGCAGAGGAUCCUCAUCGUUUACUGUGAAAAAAUUAGAGUGUUCAAAGCAGGCUUAUGCCGUUGAAUAUAUUAGCAUGGAAUAAUAAGAUAGGACUUUGGUACUAUUUUGUUGGUUUGCGCACCAAAGUAAUGAUUAAUAGGGACUGUUGGGGGUAUUCGUAUUCCGUUGUCAGAGGUGAAAUUCUUGGAUUUACGGAAGACGAACUACUGCGAAAGCAUUUACCAAGGAUGUUUUCAUUAA